rnacentral:rRNA from 1 species
GAUGAACGCUGGCGGCGUGCCUAAUACAUGCAAGUCGAGCGAACAGACGAGGAGCUUGCUCCUCUGACGUUAGCGGCGGACGGGUGAGUAACACGUGGAUAACCUACCUAUAAGACUGGGAUAACUUCGGGAAACCGGAGCUAAUACCGGAUAAUAUAUUGAACCGCAUGGUUCAAUAGUGAAAGACGGUUUUGCUGUCACUUAUAGAUGGAUCCGCGCCGCAUUAGCUAGUUGGUAAGGUAACGGCUUACCAAGGCAACGAUGCGUAGCCGACCUGAGAGGGUGAGCGGCCACACUGGAACUGAGACACGGUCCAGACUCCUACGGGAGGCAGCAGUAGGGAAUCUUCCGCAAGGGGCGAAAGCUUGACGGAGCAACGCCGCGUGAGUGAUGAAGGUCGUCGGAUCGUAAAACUCUGUUAUUAGGGAAGAACAAAUGUGUAAGUAACUAUGCACGUCUUGACGGUACCUAAUCAGAAAGCCACGGCUAACUACGUGC